AGUUAACAGAAGAUAUCAUCAUCUCUGCCUACUCAUCAUAACCAAGACGUCACCAACGUAGCUGGGGCCGCAGGAUCCUGCCUUGGUUGGGUCACAGCGUCUUCUCCUGGUUGUCCACUAUGAGCUCCCCAGCACAGCCAGUGCCAUUGAGGACUGGAGAUAUCUUCUGGCUCAACCUCUUCACAACACCCUGGGGUGGGGGAUCCAUGCCAUAGAGACUCUGUGACUUGCCCAGGUUGAUUGAGUAAAUUUCCUUGAAAUUAUCUUUUCAGUCCAAUUGAAGGUAUUGUACUGUAAAUACAUUGUCCCUGCCCUUGAAGAGCUUAUCUUUCAUUGGAGGAAGUGACUGA
rnacentral:lncRNA from 1 species